AGCACAUCCUAUUUUAGAAAACAGCACAGAACAGAGGAGGCAGAUGGAGAAAUUGAGGCCUUGAGGGGAACUGACUUCCCUGAAGUCCACAAAUCAUGUAUAGCAGAGCUGGGGCUAGUAUGCAGGGCCCUCUUAUUACAUCGUUACACUGCAGGUGUUGGCUUAAGAAAACAAAAGGAAGUAGAAAACCUUGGAAUCACAACGCUUCUAGAAAGAACUCUUGGCAAUUGGAUUUUCACAUUUUAGCCCCAGUAAGCUGAAAUAGAAUUGAGCUGUGGUUUUCCAGGAGAGAGACAGAAUAUACACAUAGACCAUGUCCACAGAUGACAACAGAACUCUGACCCACAACUCCUGUAGCAACCAGCUAGGAAGCCGGACCACAGCCUCGGAAGACAUUGGCCCAGAAUGAUCAGGACUUGGUCAACAACUGCCAGUUUCCCUUAUUCUGCUCCACUUUCAACUCAGGACCACUCAGAUAAAGCUAAAUAUGCUCCCUAAGCCAAUGACAUCGGAUGCUCCAGCCAGCACCUUCCCCAGUCAGCACAUACCCCUGCCUCUCUGUGUUCCUCUGUAAAGCUCUUCCUGCCUUUGAGUCUCUGCCAAAUGCAAGGGCUGAACUUUUUGCUACUGCAAAUUCUGAAGAAAUAGCCUCUGUUUGUUCUCAUUUGGGUGAUCUUUGUUUAUUUCUACACAUUUGAGAUAAGGAAUACUUUUAUCAGGGCCAAACUAAGUCAGGGGCUAACAUGAGGGCUAUGAUAACAGAAAUGGCAGUUCACCUAAUGAAGCCAGCUGUCUCCUGCACACCCAGGACUUCAGCCUGUCUGACCAAAACCACUGCAAAUGUUCUUACUGACCUUUCCUUAUCUACUGCCUAGGGUUGGAAUGAUGGCAACCUCCAGCCAGGCAGCCGAGGAAAGCUCUAAAUGCAUUGCUUAAUGUGGUAGCUACUGGCUACGUGUGACUACCAAACACUUGAAAUG
rnacentral:lncRNA from 1 species